AUUUUGAGACCAUCCAAAGACUGUAGUAGGCUAUCUACGUAGUCAUUCUAUACCCGUCCUCUAAAGUUCAUUUUUAGGACAUUUUAAAGAGUUUGUCAAAGUAGAAGGUGAAGGAAUCUCCAUGCAUCUUCUCUCCUUACUGUUCUAGCAUCUGAGCCUGUAUUCAUAGUGUCUCAGAGUUGGAGUGCUGAUCUAGGAUCAGUUUGCCAUUUAAUAAUGAUGAAUACGAUUACAUGGAUCCUAGAUCAGCACUCCUUUUCUGAGACACUUUAUGAAUACGGGCCCUGUUCUUUUCUGUACUGUCCUCAUUGUUUCAGUAGGAUCCAGACCAGUGGAGUCAGAUGAUGAGGCUGAUGUCAUCGUCUCAAGCUCUAGCUCAGCGAAUUCUUAUGGUGCAGCAGGAUCCAGGACUGAUGACAUCACGUCUCUCUCUGCUGCACAUAACCCCUUAAUCUCUGCCUUCAUGAACUGUGGCCAGGAGGGAUGGGGGCUCCAGGACACAAUGACCUACAACACCCACACAUACAACACACUUACUACCAGGGACUAUGGCAGCCCUGGGCAGCAUAACGAAGCCAGGCAUACUGGUUUAUCAAACGUUGCUUCUCCUCUCUUCCUCCCACACCCUCCACUGGGCCAGACUCACCACUUAGGGUCUGUUGGCUUCAGGAGGCCCCAGGCGCAGAGCAGGAAACCAGUGGGGCCUCACCCACCUCACCACCGAGGAGGUCCAAGUGGUCCAGCACCAGAACUCUCCCAUAGCCACAGCCACACAUCAGACCACCAGCCUCAGCAGCAGCAGCCACAGCCCCAUCAGGCUGAGUUUGACUACCCUCUCCCCCUGCCCCCAAAGGUCAGCAGGAUACACCUACCUGAGAGUGCCCUGCGUAGCCUGGAGAAGAGCCCCUCCCCCUCGGUGUCCGGCAGCCCUUGGUCCCUCACCGACAUGCUCAACAGGAUCCACAGCAGGGAAGGGUUUGGGAUCACCUCAGUGAGCCCCCAGGGGAAGCUGUUCCAUGCCCAGACCCAGUAUGAGAGGCCAGGCCUGGAGCUGGGGGUGAACAAGGAGCUCUGGCCACCACAGCCCAAUCAACCACUACCUGAUGAUGAGCCAGAGUACCUGCCUCUCCACAACAUGAUGCGCUACCACCAGAACAGCUUGAUUGGUUCUGCUGGGCUGCUAAGAGACAACUAUGUGGACCCUAGAGUGCCCUCCUGUAAGUCACCUAUGCUCGACCUAUAAGUGAUCUCUUGUUCAGUAAACACAACAGGUCAGGUAGACAUGAACAUUUUCCCCCACCACUUGUGGACAUCUAGCAACAUCCCUGGGUAGACUUGAGGCAAAUUAAUAUGCAAUAUUGAGUCAUGUAUAGUUAAUUUCUCUUUGCUAUGUUAGACGUUGCAAAAAAUAAAAUCCAUAUUUUUCAGUUGUAAAAUAGGGAAGUGGUUUGCUAGGAUAAGGAACUGGGGACUCUUUUGCCCUGACAUUAGAUUUGUAUCAUUUGUAAGGGGAGCUAACAACUAUGCAAUAGAUUUGCAUCAUUUGUAAGGGGAGCUAACAACUAUGCAAUAGAUUUGCAUCAUUUGUAAGGGGAGCUAACAACUAUGCAAUAGAUUUGCAUCAUUUGUAAGGGGAGC
rnacentral:lncRNA from 1 species